GCCUGUUGCUGACGCCCGGGGCAACCGUGACCGUGACCCCGGGGCUGGGGGGCGGGGGAAGAUCCGAGGGGGGCGGGGCGAAGCGUGACUCAGCCCCAGCCCCUGAGACCCCGCCCCCCCUCCACCUCUGGAGCAGGAGGCCACCCCACCCUGAGAUCCCCACAUCCCGGGGGCUGCGCCCCACGGCCCCUGGGCCUCUCCCUCCGCCCCGGGGCCGCAGGGCGAGCAGUGCCCGGGGGAGAUGAGCACCAGGGUGUGAGAUUGGGGACCCCAGCCGGAGCGGGUCGAACACGGCGAGGGGCAGGCGGGGCUGGGCCCAGCCGCCGGGGGCCGGCCUUGGGGCACCGUGUUUACCCUGGGGGCCCAGGGGUCAGAGGAAUAAAGGGAGGGGGACAGGUGCCGUCCCGAAUUCCUGAGGGGUCAGCUCCUGCGACAGGCGUCCAGCGCAGGGGUAGGGAGGAAGGGUGGCCGCUGACGGCCCCUGGCCUGCAGGCGUUUUUGGAGAGGUGGCUUUCAGCCUAGGGCGACCAGGUGUCCGGUUUUUCCCGACCAUUUAGGGCAGCUGGCGGAGAGGCGCGGCAAGCGGCCGGCAGGCGGAGAGGGCCAGAGCAGAGCCCCACAGAGGCACGGCCAUCGGGGCAAUGAGCGAGUACCCAAGCAGUGCGUGUGAGGUGCCUCCUUACCCAGCCACCCACCCACACGGAGGUGAACGCUGUCGAUUAACCUCUGAACUCUCGGGCUGCACUGGCCAAGGACAGCAACUCUCAUCACUAGAUGUCAGGGGGAGAGCUCAUUCAGCCCCUGCUUACACGGUGUAGCUCACGAAAGCUCAUGCUCAAAUAAAUUGGUUAGUCUCUAAAGUGCCACAAGUCCUCCUUUUCUUUUUGCGAAUAGAGACUAACACGGCUGUUACUCUGAAACAAAUAGGCCUGUAGCUCAUUCAAUAUCACCCCCUGGGGGUUGGGGUAGGGAUACCCACGUGCAGAUUUUCUAUAGGGGCUCUCGGUUUACGGGGCCACCUUUACUGUGCAGCGAAAAGGUUGUUUAUCUAAAGUGCUUGAGAUUCAGUCACUCAUGAAAUCCUCUCACCUGUCCCAACAUCAGCAUAUACAGCACAGCAAAUCUCUAGUAGCACCUGCAGCGGCCCUAUGAACUGGGUGACUGCUGGGCAGGUGGGUAAGACUGGCAGCCCGUUGAUACAAGAAGUGGCAUGUCCUGUUAUGUCGAAACGGCAAGUCCUCAGCUGGCACCCAGGGAGCAGCAGCAAGAGCUGCCAAAGUUGAAGUAGCAGUAACUCGCGUAUGGGGUCACUUAUGCCUCUGGUUGAAGCAGCAGUAACUCACUGACUUUAAGGGGAGUUACAUCCACAUUGAUCUGAAUUUGCUCCGUUCCUAAAUUGUUACUCUCAAAUUACUUUUGCUGCCCGGGUGAAGCAAGCAGAUGGCACUCCAGGGACGGAAUAACAGUGUCCAAUCUCCCUUCUCCGUCUCAUGCAGGAGGACCCCCAGGGUAGGAUUGAGGUGCAGUGGCAGAAUGGGGCAUCGGUGGUGCUCUGUAGCUCUUCCUCUGAACUGGGGAGAGGGGGACUUUCAUUGGUCCUCUGCUUCCCUUCCCCAGGAUUCAGAGAGUCUGCAUCAGGAAUAAAGCCAAGCAUGAAGAGAACAAGCAAUGCAAAUAAAACCCGUGAACAGAACCAAGUUUGAGUCACAUUUAUUCGGUUUCAAACAAAAUAAAUGAAUACAAAUGAGGGGGGGGAAGAGAAUCCCGUUAUGAGCAAUUUUUUUUUUUUUUAAAUAAAAAAGCAGCCAGUACAUGAACUGCUGUACCUUGAUGGAGUUACCACUGAGGACAAAUGGAAGCCUGUUGCUCCCUACAGAAUUCACAGCUUGUUGAGAUUGCCCCCUGCCAGGAUCUGAUGAAGUAAAUUAGAGACAUUAACAUUUUAUUUUCUAAAGAGGACGGAGAUGGUGAAUUGCAAGCAGAACACAGACAUGCUAGAGUUCAGGGUCUGAAGUGUGGAGGGAGCAAGGGGCAGCCUAAGAUCAGAGUUUUCCAAGCUCAAACAGGAUUAAGAUUUGGUCCAAGUUAAGUUACAGCUUGUUGGUUUAGUGAAAGAUGUCAAAGCUAGCAAAAGCCGGAUGCCAAAGCACUGGAAAGCAAACAUGCCCUGAAAGCAUCCUGCCCACAGCACGCACCCUACUGGAAGACCCUGCCUUGUCCAGUUCUGGAAGUGAACUGCAGAGCCAACACCUAACCAGACUUCCAGGACAGGUAUGAUUGCCAAAGCAGCCUGCUAGGAUGGAAGCACAGCUGCAGGCCCGCAGGCUAUGGAGUGCAUGCUGCUCACAGGUUGGUGCUAACUUCCCCCUCCCCGCAAAGGGCACCUGUCCCCUACUGCACUGCUGUUGCC